rnacentral:lncRNA from 1 species
AUAACUACAAUGAUAAACUCUCCAAGGUGGUUAAGCUGUUAGGGGUAUUCUCGAAGGAUUGAACAGCAGCAAGCAGUUAUAGAGACUGCAAUGCUCAACGACAAGGGUGUUAAGGGACCAUUAUAUAUUUUUACUGAUUGUGUUAAUUGCUUCACUAUUGAUGUAUAUUCACAGAUGGAUUGACAUAGCGUAUAAAAUUUGACCCUGCAUCAAACUGAGAUCGUGUAAUGAAGGUCAGGACAAAAGAUCUUCAGAUACAAAAGGUUUGUUCUUUUGUGGGUUUUUCAACUGUGGUUUGGGUUAAUGCUAACUAAGGUUUAAUGUUCUGCAGAUGGAAAAAGAAACCUCAAAUUUGGGGAAAGCCGAAAAGAGGUGGAUCUUGCUAAAUUCCUGCUUGAAGAUAUCAUGAGAAUGGGUUAACAUGAUGAGGCAUCAAAGGCAUUUCUGGCUCCUCCCACAAUAUCACUUCAUGAAAAAAAUAGUUCAAUUUUUCAUAAAGCUUUCCCAAUUAUCACGGUUCUAUGACAUCUCUGUUAAAUGGGUUCUUUUGUUUUUACUUUAUUGAACUACGUAUCUCGGCAAACAUAGAGACAAAUGGGAUGAUCGUUCAAUAUCAAAGACAUCAGUCGUGGUCAUUUAGACAGAAGAAGUUUCAUAUCUGAUAGAAUGUCCACACCGAAGUUUCAUAUCUGAUAGCAGGAGCUUGUGUUUGGUCUCACUCUGACAAUGAUGAUCCUGUUGAAGAGCUGACUAGGCGCUCAGCUCAGAAGAAUAUUGCAGAGAGAUUCAAUGCAUGAUGUUAAGGA